rnacentral:rRNA from 1 species
GAGUUUGAUCAUGGCUCAGAUUGAACGCUGGCGGCAUGCCUUACACAUGCAAGUCGAACGGCAGCACGGGAGCUUGCUCCUGGUGGCGAGUGGCGAACGGGUGAGUAAUGCAUCGGAACGUAUCCUGGAGUGGGGGAUAACGUAGCGAAAGUUACGCUAAUACCGCAUAUUCUGUGAGCAGGAAAGCGGGGGACCUUCGGGCCUCGCGCUCUUGGAGCGGCCGAUGUCGGAUUAGCUAGUUGGUGAGGUAAAGGCUCACCAAGGCGACGAUCCGUAGCAGGUCUGAGAGGAUGAUCUGCCACACUGGAACUGAGACACGGUCCAGACUCCUACAGGAGGCAGCAGUGGGGAAUUUUGGACAAUGGGGGCAACCCUGAUCCAGCCAUGCCGCGUGAGUGAAGAAGGCCU